GCUAAGGUCCCAAAGUCAUGGUUAAGUGGGAAACGAUGUGGGAAGGCCCAGACAGCCAGGAUGUUGGCUUAGAAGCAGCCAUCAUUUAAAGAAAGCGUAAUAGCUCACUGGUCGAGUCGGCCUGCGCGGAAGAUGUAACGGGGCUAAACCAUGCACCGAAGCUGCGGCAGCGACACUAUGUGUUGUUGGGUAGGGGAGCGUUCUGUAAGCCUGUGAAGGUGUACUGUGAGGUAUGCUGGAGGUAUCAGAAGUGCGAAUGCUGACAUAAGUAACGAUAAAGCGGGUGAAAAGCCCGCUCGCCGGAAGACCAAGGGUUCCUGUCCAACGUUAAUCGGGGCAGGGUGAGUCGACCCCUAAGGCGAGGCCGAAAGGCGUAGUCGAUGGGAAA
rnacentral:rRNA from 1 species